UUAUAGUGCCAGGGGUGCCAUUUGUGCUGAGAAAAGUGAAAACUUUAACCCUUUGAACCUGAUUCGGGUAACGCCGACGUAGGAAAGCUACUUUAAUAUUGG
rnacentral:ncRNA from 2 species